rnacentral:rRNA from 1 species
AACGAACGCUGGCGGCAGGCCUAACACAUGCAAGUCGAACGAGAAGCCACCUUCGGGUGGUGGACAGUGGCAGACGGGUGAGUAACGCGUGGGAACGUGCCUUUCGGUUCGGGAUAACCCAGGGAAACUUGGGCUAAUACCGGAUACGCCCUCCGGGGGAAAGAUUCAUCGCCGAAAGAUCGGCCCGCGUCGGAUUAGCUAGUUGGUAGGGUAAUGGCCUACCAAGGCGACGAUCCGUAGCUGGUCUGAGAGGAUGACCAGCCACACUGGGACUGAGACACGGCCCAGACUCCUACGGGAGGCAGCAGUGGGGAAUAUUGGACAAUGGGCGAAAGCCUGACGCAGCCAUGCCGCGUGAAUGAUGAAGGUCUUAGGAUUGUAAAAUUCUUUCACCGGGGACGAUAAUGACGGUACCCGGAGAAGAAGCCCCGGCUAACUUCGUGCCAGCCGCCGCGGUAACAC